GGGAUUGCAGUGGCAAAGCUAGGCUAGGUCUUGGAGGCUGGUGUAAGGCGAUGUGGGUGAAGGCAGGAGGCUGAUGGAAAGACUGGGGGGAAGAAAAGCCGAAAUGGAUUCACGGUGCCUUGGAUGAAGGACGAGAGGGGAACUGCAAGCUCCUUCAACUGGUUCUGUCCGGUGAGAAGUGAUCAAGCUUGGGCUGACAAGAGGCUCAGGGAGCCCUCACGUUCUUUCGCUUUUUUACCUGCCAAUCAAACUGCUACAAGACAACACCCUGAUCUGGCAUGGACAUCGCGGGUCCAAGCCUGUAGCCCCAAAUCGGAUAAUCUCUGCAGCUGAUAACAAGCAAAAGAGAAGCCAGGCAACAGCCAUAUUAAAGAAGAAAACAAUCAACUCUGAGUCUCAAUACCUUCACAGAGGUGAAGAAGCAGCAACCAAAUGAAUUAGACAGCAACAUGAUUCCUAGAGAAUGGCAAGACCAAUUCUUCAACUACUUCUUCAGCAUUUCUGAAACAUAUGGAAGAUGGCCCAUUGUGCUCUCUUAAUUCUUUGAUAAUCUGGACAUUGACUUUUCCAUUAUAUGACCUGGGCUUGUGGGCAUCAUGUCAUAAUGCACCUGUUCAGACAUCUCCCUGUACCAAUAUGGAUCACUUGAAGAGACUCCUUUGCCCCCAUCAAAAAGGAUACAGUUGUGUA
rnacentral:lncRNA from 1 species